GUGUUGAAAAUUGAUCUAUCAGAGCCGUCUGAUCUAAAUAUCAACGAGGAUACGGUGGUUUAUUCCCCCUCAGGAAAUCAAAAACCUGCUUCAAUUUAAUUGGGAGUGACAGGAACAAGAGGUCUUUUUAUUUAGGAGGGGUUGCAUUAAGUUUUUGGAGUCAUAUUAUUUGAUUUUGGUUACCAAGCAAAGACAAAUUGGAUGUAUAUGCGGUCAUGCGAUAUACAGUAUAGAUGAGCGCAAUUGAUUAUGCUUCCUCAUGUCUCUAUUCAAUCAGAUGGGCGCAUUCGAAAAUCGAACUCAGACCGUUGAGAAAAGGCUGCGGGAAAUGAUGCUAAGGCAUGAGUUUGCGAUGC